rnacentral:misc_RNA from 1 species
GGGCUAUCCAAAGGAAACUCAAAUUUAUGUUGCAUCCGGUCAGGUGUAUGGUGGACAGAAUAGGAUGGCACCACUAAGGAACAUGUUCCCGAAUCUGGUGACGAAGGAAGAGUUAGCUACCAAGGAGGAAUUGGAUAGCUUCAGGAAACAUGUUACGAGUUUAGCAGCAUUGGACUUCUUAGUGUGCUUGAAGUCAGACGUGUUUGUGAUGA